UACGAAGGGUGCAGGCGUUACUCGGAAUUACUGGGCGUAAAGCGUGCGUAGGCGGUUCGUUAAGUCUGUCGUGAAAGCCCUGGGCUCAACCUGGGAAUUGCGAUGGAUACUGGCGAGCUAGAGUACGGUAGAGGAUGGUGGAAUUCCCGGUGUAGCGGUGAAAUGCGUAGAGAUCGGGAGGAACACCCGUGGCGAAGGCGGCCAUCUGGACCAGUACUGACGCUGAGGCACGAAAGCGUGGGGAGCAAACAGG
rnacentral:rRNA from 1 species